CGGAGGACCCUUGAAGGAGUUUUCGGACAACUGAUAGGAAUCCUUAGUGGCGGACGGGUGAGUAACGCGUGAGUAACCUGCCUUGGAGUGGGGAAUAACAGCUGGAAACAGCUGCUAAUACCGCAUAAUGCAGUUGGGUCGCAUGGCUCUGACUGCCAAAGAUUUAUCGCUCUGAGAUGGACUCGCGUCUGAUUAGCUAGUUGGCGGGGCAACGGCCCACCAAGGCGACGAUCAGUAGCCGGACUGAGAGGUUGGCCGGCCACAUUGGGACUGAGACACGGCCCAGACUCCUACGGGAGGCAGCAGUGGGGAAUAUUGGGCAAUGGGCGCAAGCCUGACCCAGCAACGCCGCGUGAAGGAAGAAGGCUUUCGGGUUGUAAACUUCUUUUCUGAGGGACGAAGCAAGUGACGGUACCUUAGGAAUAAGCCACGGCUAACUACGUGCCAGCAGCCGCGGUAAUACGUAGGUGGCAAGCGUUAUCCGGAUUUACUGGGUGUAAAGGGCGUGUAGGCGGGAAAGCAAGUCAGAUAUGAAAACCACGGGCUCAACCUGUGGCCUGCAUUUGAAACUGUUUUUCUUGAGUACUGGAGAGGCAGACGGAAUUCCUAGUGUAGCGGUGAAAUGCGUAGAUAUUAGGAGGAACACCAGUGGCGAAGGCGGUCUGCUGGACAGCAACUGACGCUGAGGCGCGAAAGCGUGGGGAGCAAACAGGAUUAGAUACCCUGGUAGUCCACGCUGUAAACGAUGGAUACUAGGUGUGGGGGGACUGACCCCCUCCGUGCCGCAGUUAACACAAUAAGUAUCCCACCUGGGGAGUACGAUCGCAAGGUUGAAACUCAAAGGAAUUGACGGGGGCCCGCACAAGCGGUGGAGUAUGUGGUUUAAUUCGAAGCAACGCGAAGAACCUUACCAGGGCUUGACAUCCCGAUGACCGGCAUAGAGAUAUGCUUUUCUCUUCGGAGACAUCGGUGACAGGUGGUGCAUGGUUGUCGUCAGCUCGUGUCGUGAGAUGUUGGGUUAAGUCCCGCAACGAGCGCAACCCUUAUUGUUAGUUGCUACGCAAGAGCACUCUAGCGAGACUGCCGUUGACAAAACGGAGGAAGGUGGGGACGACGUCAAAUCAUCAUGCCCCUUAUGUCCUGGGCCACACACGUACUACAAUGGUGGUUAACAGAGGGAAGCAAUACCGCGAGGUGGAGCAAAUCCCUAAAAGCCAUCCCAGUUCGGAUCGCAGGCUGCAACCCGCCCGCGUGAAGUUGGAAUCGCUAGUAAUCG
rnacentral:rRNA from 1 species